GAGUUUGAUUAUGGCUCAGAUUGAACGCUGGCGGCAGGCUUAACACAUGCAAGUCGAACGGUAGCAGGAGAAAGCUUGCUUUCUUGCUGACGAGUGGCGGACGGGUGAGUAAUGCUUGGGAAUCUGGCUUAUGGAGGGGGAUAACUACUGGAAACGGUAGCUAAUACCGCGUAAUAUCGAGAGAUUAAAGACUGGGACCUACGGGCCAGUUGCCAUAAGAUGAGCCCAAGUGGGAUUAGGUAGUUGGUGGGGUAAAGGCCUACCAAGCCCGCGAUCUCUAGCUGGUCUGAGAGGAUGACCAGCCACACUGGAACUGAGACACGGUCCAGACUCCUACGGGAGGCAGCAGUGGGGAAUAUUGCACAAUGGGGGGAACCCUGAUGCAGCCAUGCCGCGUGAAUGAAGAAGGCCUUCGGGUUGUAAAGUUCUUUCGGUGGUGAGGAAGGUAUCAACCUUAAUAGAGUUGGUAAU
rnacentral:rRNA from 1 species